rnacentral:rRNA from 1 species
UACCGCAUAACAACUUGGACCGCAUGGUCCGAGCUUGAAAGAUGGCUUCGGCUAUCACUUUUGGAUGGUCCCGCGGCGUAUUAACUAGAUGGUGGGGUAACGGCUCACCAUGGCAAUGAUACGUAGCCGACCUGAGAGGGUAAUCGGCCACAUUGGGACUGAGACACGGCCCAAACUCCUACGGGAGGCAGCAGUAGGGAAUCUUCCACAAUGGACGAAAGUCUGAUGGAGCAACGCCGCGUGAGUGAAGAAGGGUUUCGGCUCGUAAAACUCUGUUGUUAAAGAAGAACAUAUCUGAAAGUAACUGUUCAGGUAUUGACGGUAUUUAACCAGAAAGCCACGGCUAACUACUUGCCAGCAUCCGCGGUAAUACCUAGGUGGCAAGCAUUGUCCGGAUUUAUUGGGCGUAAAACGAGCGCAGGCGGUUUUUUAAGUCUGAUGUGAAAGCCUUCGGCUCAACCGAAGAAGUGCAUCGGAAACUGGGAAACUUGAGUGCAGAAGAGGACAGUGGAACUCCAUGUGUAGCGGUGAAAUGCGUAGAUAUAUGGAAGAACACCAGUGGCGAAUGCGGCUGUCUGGUCUGUAACUGACGCUGAGGCUCAAAAAGUAUGGGUAGCACACAGGAUUAGAUACCCCUGGUAGUCCAUACCGUAAACGAUGAAUGCUAAGUGUUGGAGGGUUUCCGCCCUUC